rnacentral:rRNA from 1 species
GGCGAGAAUGGACUGCUCCUGAUGUAGCGGCGGACGGGUGAGUAACACGUGGGUAACCUGCCUGUAAGACUGGGAUAACUCCGGGAAACCGGGGCUAAUACCGGAUGGUUGUUUGAACCGCAUGGUUCAGACAUAAAAGGUGGCUUCGGCUACCACUUACAGAUGGACCCGCGGCGCAUUAGCUAGUUGGUGAGGUAACGGCUCACCAAGGCGACGAUGCGUAGCCGACCUGAGAGGGUGAUCGGCCACACUGGGACUGAGACACGGCCCACACUCCUACGGGAGGCAGCAGUAGGGAAUCUUCCGCAAUGGACGAAAGUCUGACGGAGCAACGCCGCGUGAGUGAUGAAGGUUUUCGGAUCGUAAAGCUCUGUUGUUAGGGAAGAACAAGUGCCGUUCAAAUAGGGCGGCACCUUGACGGUACCUAACCAGAAAGCCACGGCUAACUACGUGCCAGCAGCCGCGGUAAUACGUAGGUGGCAAGCGUUGUCCGGAAUUAUUGGGCGUAAAGGGCUCGCAGGCGGUUUCUUAAGUCUGAUGUGAAAGCCCCCGGCUCAACCGGGGAGGGUCAUUGGAAACUGGGGAACUUGAGUGCAGAAGAGGAGAGUGGAAUUCCACGUGUAGCGGUGAAAUGCGUAGAGAUGUGGAGGAACACCAGUGGCGAAGGCGACUCUCUGGUCUGUAACUGACGCUGAGGAGCGAAAGCGUGGGGAGCGAACAGGAUUAGAUACCCUGGUAGUCCACGCCGUAAACGAUGAGUGCUAAGUGUUAGGGGGUUUCCGCCCCUUAGUGCUGCAGCUAACGCAUUAAGCACUCCGCCUGGGGAGUACGGUCGCAAGACUGAAACUCAAAGGAAUUGACGGGGGCCCGCACAAGCGGUGGAGCAUGUGGUUUAAUUCGAAGCAACGCGAAGAACCUUACCAGGUCUUGACAUCCUCUGACAAUCCUAGAGAUAGGACGUCCCCUUCGGGGGCAGAGUGACAGGUGGUGCAUGGUUGUCGUCAGCUCGUGUCGUGAGAUGUUGGGUUAAGUCCCGCAACGAGCGCAACCCUUGAUCUUAGUUGCCAGCAUUCAGUUGGGCACUCUAAGGUGACUGCCGGUGACAAACCGGAGGAAGGUGGGGAUGACGUCAAAUCAUCAUGCCCCUUAUGACCUGGGCUACACACGUGCUACAAUGGGCAGAACAAAGGGCAGCGAAACCGCGAGGUUAAGCCAAUCCCACAAAUCUGUUCUCAGUUCGGAUCGCAGUCUGCAACUCGACUGCGUGAAGCUGGAAUCGCUAGUAAUCGCGGAUCAGCAUGCCGCGGUGAAUACGUUCCCGGGCCUUGUACACACCGCCCGUCACACCACGAGAGUUUGUAACACCCGAAGUCGGUGAGGUAACCUUUUAGAUGCCAGCCGCCGAAGGUGGACAGAGAUGGAUGCUUCC